CCAUACUUUUCCUCCUGAAUCCUUAUUGUCCACUGAGAUUCUUGCUUUGGUACUCACCAGGUCACCAUUUUUGCUAGUUCUCCUUGGCCACUUGUACAGAGAUCUUCUCCAGGGUUCUGAAAAGAGGAGUGUAUUCUGUCCCCUGAACCUGUGCCUGCAAGAUUGGAGGCUCUCGGUCUAUCUACACAGGGAAGCUAGCUGAACUGAAUUGAUUCAAAAUAAAAAUGAUUGCAUUCAAUAAAAUUUGGCCA
rnacentral:lncRNA from 1 species